CGCCCCGAGACUCCUGGCUCGGGGGGUUGCCAACAAGCCCAAUUCGCUGGGGGCGAGGGAGCCCUCUAGCAUUAGGAUCGUUUUAGGGGACGGAGAGAGAGGUGUCCGGGGAGCUCCCCAGGGUAGGACAGAAAAGGGGAAGAGGUGGGGACCCCAGAGCAAGAGCUGCUGUGGGCUCCCUGCCCCCCAUGACGGGGAGGCGGUUAAACUACCUGGCCAGGCCAUCUGCCCGGAGGCAGCUUCUCCGGCUCCAGCCCCGUCCUGCCCCAGAAGGAUCUCCAUGCCACUUGGAUACCUAUGGACCACCUACUUACCUGCCAAUUUUUACUCGAGACACAGGGGAUUCAGGAGGAAACAGAACAAAGGUCCUGUCCUCAGGAAGCUUAUAUCACUCUGGUGGGGCAGACCGACAACAAAGAAAUACACCAUGUCAAAAUACGUCAGGUGGUGGCUGUCCUCCACCUAGCAGCCAGUGCAAGCUUUUAAAAAUGCGAAUCAUUUCUAGCCUGACAACCUUCCGGUGGCCUCCCGCCGCAUCUGGAAUAAAUCCAAACUUCCGACUAUGGCCUGCCUCCAUUCCAAUCUUUGAAACUUCGUGGCCUCGUCUCCCAGUCCUCUGGCACCCUCUGCCUCAGCCACAUAGGCCAGAGCCUUUGCACUUGACCUGCCUUCUCCUGGACCCCUUUGCAGUGGGGUGCUGUCUUGGCUCCAGAUUUCCGCUCGACAUGGUGACAUUAUCGGUGGCACCUUUCCUGACUUCUCCAUUUAACUUGGUACCUCCAGGGGUUCCUGGCUGGCUCAGUUGGAAGAGCAUGUGA